ensembl:snRNA U6 U6 spliceosomal RNA
UUGCUCAUUUUAGCAGCACAUAUACUAAAAUUGGAAUGAUACAGAGAAGAUUAGCAUGGCCCCUGCGCAAGGAAGACACGCAAAUCUGCGAAGCAUUCCAUAUUAAA